rnacentral:misc_RNA from 1 species
GAUGAAGAACGCAGCGAAAUGCGAUAAGUAAUGUGAAUUGCAGAAUUCAGUGAAUCAUCGAAUCUUUGAACGCACAUUGCGCCCGCCAGUAUUCUGGCGGGCAUGCCUGUUCGAGCGUCAUUUCAACCAUCAAGCCCACGGCUUGUGUUGGGGACCUGCGGCUGCCGCAGGCCCUGAAAUGCAGUGGCGGGCUCGCUGUCACUCCGAGCGUAGUAGUUACAUCUCGCUCUGGGCGUGCUGCGGGUUCCGGCCGUUAAAAGCCUUAUUUACCCAAGGUUGACCUCGGAUCAGGUAGGAAGACCCGCUGAACUUAAGCAUAUCAAUAAGCGGAGGA